UCCCUGGUUGGUCACGCUUGACAAGGCCCGGGCUCCACCUCCUCUUUCCAAUUGGUGACAGGAUUCUCAACUCCGCCUCGUGCUCCUUCCCUGUUUUCCAUUGGUUCUAUACGGACAACCGGGCCCCCUUUUGCUUUGUUAGUAUUGGCCAAGAGCUACAGAAAGCAAGCCACUUUGCCUGUCUCCCAUUGGUGGAACCUUCCGACACCGCCCAGCUACGAUGACGUCAUCUUUGCCCUGGCUAGCGAUCCCUGAGUGGCUGGAGGUUAGACGCCGGGCUAUUCCUACCCGAAUCUGGCAUUGGAUCGCAGGGCUGACCCGGGCACCGAGCAGCGCUGAUUCACCGACCCCGCCUCGGACCUGUUGCCGGAACCUGUCUCCGGAAAGCACUGGAAUCGUGAGGCUGUACACCCCGCCCUGAGUGCUGGCCAAUUACUCCCUCCUGCGAGUGGAUUUUAACAGCUCAGAAACUUCCCGUACCUGCAGACUGACGUUGAAUUCUGAGAUUUGUUUGACAUCUCUUUCAGUCUUUCCUUCCCUUUUAAUUCUAGAGGAAAACAUUCAAAAAGAAUACUUCCUAUUCAAGAUGGCUAUAAAUGAUGUUUUUGUGUGUGUGGUACCAAUAUAAAUGUACGUAGAACAGAACUAAAAAUUUUAAGAGUUGUUCCUUGAGCUAUCUGAGACCCAAGUUACGCUGUUAAUAUACUGACAACUCCAUUUAAAAAAACUGAAAUAAAACUCUUGGUAAAUUGAGAUUCCUGAAUAUAGAAAUGAGUAAAGCAUGAACAUAUUUAACAAAGCUUUAAAAAAGUUUAUUGUUGCCAAUAUGUGAAAACAAUAGCUUGUAAGGUAAUUUACCUACAUUAUUGCUAAUCCUCAACAUAACCCCAUUAGAUAGGUUAAUUAUCUACAUUUUGCACAUAAGGAAACUGAUGCCCAGAGAAGCUAAAUGACUUUCUUAGACAUCUAUUCAGGCAGAAAUGGAAACUGAACCUAGAUCUGUUUCACCCAAAGCCCAUACAAUAGGUGAUAGUUUUUCUAAAAAACAGGAAUUAAGAACCGGAUCUCCAUGAGUCACAAACACUGACAAACACGGGGGAAAGAAAGAAAAACAUGUAAUCAUGAUGGUAAGUUUUAAAUAUGUCUUUUCUAAUGGUUGAUAAAUCCAUUAAACUCAAAAGAAGAAGAAUAGAGUAACCCAGUCCUGACAUAUAGAACACAUUUUCUGGUUUUAAUGGUUAAUUGGAUCUAAAAGCUGAUUCUUUACGGCAAUUAAUAAAUACACUGAAGAUAAAAGUUUUCAAAACACAAAAAGCUAGAAUUGGGGAUAUAAGUUUAUAAAAAUUAUGAAGAUAUUAUUUUUAACUGCACGUUAUUUGUAAAACAAAUCUGAAAAUAGUAAUGAAUAUAGUUUUUACUGAUAGUAAAAACACUGAUUUCAUUCUUAAUUUUGGAUUCUGUAUACUUCCAUAUUUUCUCUUUGAUUUUAUUAUGAACAUUUAGCAUCUCUUUAUUCUUUCUCUUACCCUCAACUCUUUUUUUUAAAAAAGCCAGUCUUAUUUCAAAAUCAUGAUCCUUCCCCUGGAGUUAGCCUGACUGAAAAUCACACUUAUAAAAUUAAAAAAGGAAAAAUGGUUGAAAUCUGAGUCAGAUAUAGCAAAGGAACCAUUUAUACACCGACAGGUUUAGCUUAAAUUCCAAACAAAAAUAAAUUAUAUAAUAUAUAAAAUCAGAGAAUUAAGACUAAGGAAUGGACCUCUUUCUGUUCCCUGGCAGCGGAGGGAGAAAUCAGUAAUCCAGAAACACCAACUAGGAAAUUAGUAUCAUGAAGAACUCCAAAUGGUGUCUGAUGCCACCUACUGGACAUCAAGCAAUGGGAAUACCAGACCACCUGACCUGCCUCUUGAGAAACCUGUAUGCAGGUCAGGAAGCAACAGUUAGAACUGGAUAUGGAACAACAGACUGGUUCCAAAUCGGAAAAGGAGUAUGUCAAGGCUGAUUAUUUAACUUACAUGCAGAGGACAUCAUGAGAAAUGCUGGGGUGGAAGAAGCACAAGCUGGAAUCAAGAUUGCUGGGAGAAAUAUCAAUUACCUCAGAUAUGCAGAUGACACCACCCUUAUGGCAGAAAGUGAAGAGGAACUAAAGAGCCUCUUGAUGAAAGUGAAAGAGCAGAGUGAAAAAGUUGGCUUAAAGCUCAACAUUCAGAAAACUAAGAUCAUGGCAUCUGGUCCCAUCACUUCGUGGCAAAUAGAUGGGGAAACAGUGGAAACAGUGGCUGACUUUAUUUUUGGGGGCUCCAAAAUCACUGCAGAUGGUGACUGCAGCCAUGAAAUUAAAAGACACUUACUCCUUGGAAGGAAAGUUAUGACCAACCUAGACAGCACAUUAAAAAGCAGAGACAUUACUUUGUCAACAAAGGUCCAUCUAGUCAAGGCUAUGGUUUUUCCAGUGGUCAUGUAUGGAUGUGAGAGUUGGACUAUAAAGAAGGCUGAGCAUUGACAAAUUGAUGCUUUUGAACUGUGGUGUUGGAGAAGAUUCUUGAGAGUCCCUUGGACUGCAAGGAGAUCCAACCAGUCCAUCCUAAAGGAGAUCAGUCCUGGGUGUUCAUUGGAAGGACUGAUGUGGAAGCUGAAACUCCAAUACUUUGGCCACCUGAUGCGAAGAGCUGACUCAUUUGAAAAGACCUUGAUGUUGGGAAAGAUUGAGGGCAGGAGGAGAAGGGGACGACAGAGGACGAGAUGGUUGGAUUGCAUCACCAACUCAAUGGACAUGAGUUUGGGUAAAUUCUGGGAGUUGGUGAUGGACAGGGAGGCCUAGCGUGCUGUGGUCCAUAGGGUCACAAAGAGUCAGACACGACUGAGUGACUGAACUGAACUGAAUAAGCAUGUAUUGCUUUUUAACUGGGGAAAUACAGUAUUGGGGCAGGGGGCAAAAAACACAGAAGACACAAAAAAU